ACCUGCGGAAGGAUCAUUAAUGAAACUUCAAAGUCGGCUCGUCUGUCUGUGCUGGUGGAGACACAUGUGCACGUYGGCGAGUCGCAAAUCCACACACACCUGUGCAUCUAUGACUCUGAGURCCGCUUUGCAUGGCCCUCAGGGGCCUGGUACUCGAGUACUUUACACACUCUGAAUGUAAUGGAAUGUCUUUUUGUACAAUGUACAACUAAAAACAACUUUCAACAACGGAUCUCUUGGCUCUCGCAUCGAUGAAGAACGCAGCGAAAUGCGAUAAGUAAUGUGAAUUGCAGAAUUCAGUGAAUCAUCGAAUCUUUGAACGCACCUUGCACCCUUUGGUAUUCCGAAGGGUACACCCGUUUGAGUGUCAUUGUAAUCUCACUACRRCCACUUUAUUGUUGUUUGUAUGUGGACUUGGAUGUUGCCGUGUAACAAACGGCUCGUCUGAAAUGCCUGAGUGUACCCUGCUUUUGCGGCGUAUUCGGUGUGAUAAAUCUUCACCGGAGUUGACUUUCGGGUCGCGCUUGUAUYGUCRGGCYCUAUGCUUCCAACCGUCCURACAAGACAAUCUCUGACAAUUUGACCUCAAAUCGGGUGGGACUACCCGCUGAACUUAAGCAUAUYAAUAAGCGGAGGAAAAGAAACUAACAAGGAUUCCCCUAGUAACGGCGAGUGAAGAGGGAAAAGCUCAAAUUUUGAAUCUGGUGUCUUUGACUCCCGAGUUGUAAUCUAGAGAAGUGUUUUCCGYGUUGGACCGUGUACAAGUUCCCUGGAACGGGGCGUCAUAGAGGGUGAGAAUCCCGUAUAUGCCACGGACUACCAAUGCUCUGUGAUACACUCUCAACGAGUCGAGUUGUUUGGGAAUGCAGCUCAAAAUGGGUGGUAAAUUCCAUCUAAAGCUAAAUAUUGGCGAGAGACCGAUAGCGAACAAGUACCGUGAGGGAAAGAUGAAAAGCACUUUGGAAAGAGAGUGAAACAGUACGUGAAAUUGUUGAAAGGGAAGCGUUUGAAGUCAGUCACGUCUGUCGGAAUUCAGCCUGGCUUCUGCCUGGUGUACUUUCCGUCCGACGGGUCAGCAUCAAUUUCGACCGAGGGAAAAAGACGUGAGGAAUGUGGYUGUCUUCGGGCAGUGUUAUAGCCUCGSGUUGUAUGUCUCGGUUGGGAUUGAGGAACGCAGCGCGCCUAUUGGCCGGGGGUUCGCGCCCCUCGGUACGCGCUUAGGAUGCUGGCAUAAUGGCUUUAAGCGACCCGUCUUGAAACACGGACCAAGGAGUCUAACAUGUGCGCGAGUGUUUGGGUGUCAAACCCGAGCGCGUAAUGAAAGUGAAAGGUCGGGAUCCUUCAUUGGUGCACCGACGCCCGGAGCAGACCUUCUGUGACGCAUCCGCGGUAGAGCGUAUAUGUUGGGACCCGAAAGAUGGUGAACUAUGCCUGAAUAGGGUGAAGCCAGAGGAAACUCUGGUGGAGGCUCGUAGCGAUUCUGACGUGCAAAUCGAUCGUCAAAUUUGGGUAUAGGGGCGAAAGACUAAUCGAACCAUCUAGUAGCUGGUUCCUGCCGAAGUUUCCCUCAGGAUAGCAGAAACUCAUUAUAUCAGCCUUGUGCGGUAAAGCGAAUGAUUAGAGGCCUUGGGGUUGAAACAACCUU
rnacentral:rRNA from 1 species